CUAUAUCACAAAUUGUUGUCUCUCGCUGAACUUACAACAUCCACUAAAAGACAUCGUUAGUAUGAAUGCUACUGCCCGGCUAAUGAAACAAACCAAACUAACAAAAAACAAAAACAAGAGAAAUUAUUCUGCUCCUUGUUUAUAGCCAAUGUUCUCUCUCUUUCUGCUUUCAUAUUAUAGUGGAAAUACAAGGGCAGGUCUGAAUGUGUCCCACAAGAAAAAAAGACAAACUCACUCAACCCCCAUUUUGCACAUUUUUGGAAAACCUGUCUUUGAUUGCUAGAUCGUGGUUGUCAGUAACUGUAGAUUGUUGAUGGGGAGGUAAACAUUGCAUUUCUAGGGUUUUGGUGAUUGCUUAUAAUUUCAUUUCUACAAAACCAGAAAUGUCAAAACAUGAAAAGUGUCCUUGGGUACCUUUCUCCUACAGCUGUGCUCUGGAGGAGUUCUGUGGACAAUUGCCCAGAACUGGACGGCCUCCACCUUGCCUCUAAUUCUCUCCCAAUGAUGGUGCUCAAAGGUGUCCAAAGCUCUAGGAAAACAAGGGUUCAUUUGGCUUUCAUGCUGCUGGUUUACCUGAUCUCCCCAGCACACACAAGGUUGAAUGUGCAUGUGUAGAUGUAAACCUGGAAUUACCGUAAUGACGCGAAGAGGACUGAGAGCUGGUUCCUCUGAGCUGGCUGUUUGCUCUGCCCUAACCCAGGAGACCUGGGUAAUAUUUAACUACCAAGUAUACCUAUGUAUAGAAUGAAAACUCUUUAGGGUCUUGGAAGAUGCUUCCUGAGAUACUGAGAACCAGGUCUCUAAACAGAGGUUCAGAGACAGGCUUUUUCAGAGAAGAUACUGAAGCCACACAGGAUUAAACCUUUCUCUUGGCCACUUCAAAGUGUCUGGAGGUCUGCAGGCCUGAGUGGGGACCAAGGGGACCAGGAGCUGGGCAGUGAGGGCUUCUUUUUUCCCUUCUGACUUGGCUUCAGAAAGAAUUGUAACCUCUACCUUUACAGGUGUGCACAAAGCAAGUGCCCACCUCUAGCCAGGGCAGUCAGAAGUUGUAGCUAGUUCAUUACUAUUCACCACCCUUCAGUAUUAACUGGAAUGUUGAUUUCUGCUCUUUGGUAUCACUGCUUCCUGACAAGAAUGCUGAAGCAAAGGCCUGAGUGCAGUAAACCCUGGAAGUGUGCACUGUAUCAUACUUACAUCCAAUACAACAGUAAAGCUCAGAUAUCUCUGCACACAUCCACAUGGUUCAUUGGUUUCAUACUGACAUCAAAAAGGAGAACCUUUUGGAAAUAUUUGACAACAACAACAUCAACAGAAAAGUCAACCCACUUAUAGUCUAUAAUCGAGUACUAGAUGGGGGUAAAGAGAAAACCUUUCAGAUCCAUGGUAGCAUAAAGUACCUGGUCAUUAACCUUACUGAAUGAAUCACUUUCUAAUGAUUACAAUGCCACAUAAACAGAAAAUUAGCUGUUGAAAAAUCUUGACAUGGCUAAAUACUUAGAUUUUGUUAGUUGUGUUCUGAAAGCUGGGGAUUUUCACGUACAUGGGUCUGCAUGUUGGAAAGACAGAAGAGAGGACAGGGGACUGAAAAGGAAGGAACGGGAGAGGACAGAAACUGUACCUGGUGACAGUGUGUGGGAUUCUGUAGGUGGUUGUGACAGCUGAGAGGUGCUGGUUGUAGCUGAUUCAAAGUGUUGGGGUGGGGUGGAUGAGUGUGUGGUGUGUAUACAUUGUAUUGAGGGGGUGAUGCCAGUGGAAAGGGCCUGGGAGAUGGCUGGGAGGUGGUGUGUGUACCAUGUGUGAGCUUUGGACCGGUAACACAAUGGGAACCUAAUUAUCUGGCUGAAACAUGCUCAAAUGGCAAAAAGUUGCAAAAUAGAUCGACCUCCCUGAGAAGAGAGGGAGCUGGUUACAGAGGUCUGCAGCCAUCAUCCUUUUUUCAAUACAUUUUAAACAAGAGGAUCUAGCGAGUGAUUCUGAUUCAAUACACAUAAUCAGUUUGCAAGUCUUAUUUCCAUUUGAAAACAGGGCCAUUUGCAAUCAUAAGAGCCGGACACGCUGAAAGAUACAGAGCGCAUUCCGAGCAGAUGAUGGGUGACAGAAUCUGUAGGCAAGCACUAAAUAUUUUCUUCUAGCCUCAGACCUUGUGUGUCUUUAGUCCCAACGUAUUUUAAAUGGAAUAUUCCUGUUGAAUAUAUAACUUAAUUGCUUAGAAAAUCG
rnacentral:lncRNA from 1 species